GCGGAACUGGCGGAAUUGGCAGACGCGCUAGAUUCAGGUUCUAGUGUCCACAAGACUUCCGGGUUCAAGUCCCGGGUUCCGCA
rnacentral:tRNA from 5 species